rnacentral:rRNA from 1 species
UACGUAGGAGGCAAGCGUUGUCCGGAGUUACUGGGCGUAAAGCGCACGCAGGCGGUCUCUUUAGUCUGUAGGGACAGGGCACAGCUCAACUGUGUCAGGCUUACGGAAACUAGGAGACUUGAGGGCUUCAGAGGGAUGGGGAAUUCCGGGUGGAGUGGUGAAAUGCGUAGAGAUCCGGAAGAACACCAAAGGCGAAGGCACCAUCCUGGGGAGUCACUGACGCUCGGGUGCGAAAGCUAGGGGAGCGAACGGG